UACCAGCACCCCGAGUGGUCGGGACGAUUAUUGGGCCUAAAAGCAUCCGUAGCCGGUUCUGCAAGUCCUCCGUUAAAUCCAGCUGCUCAACAGAUGGGCCGCGGAGGAUACUACAGAGCUAGGAGGCAGGAGAGGCAAGCGGUACUCAGUGGGUAGGGGUAAAAAUCCGUUGAUCCAUUGAAGACCACCAGUGGCGAAGGCGGCUUGCCAGAAUGCGCUCGACGGUGAGGGAUGAAAGCUGGGGGAGCAACGG
rnacentral:rRNA from 1 species